rnacentral:tRNA from 1 species
GCUAUUUUGGCAGAUUAGUGCGGUAAAUUUAGAAUUUAUUAAUAUAGUUAAUACUAUAAAUAGUA